ACCAUAUUCAGAAGGUGAGAUAAGAUGAGGACCUAUGGAGGGUACAAUAUUUCAACAGCUGCUACUUGGAUUGGAAUGAAAGCUGCCCACUGACUCAAGAAAAGAGAAGCUGCUCUCAGCUAGAAGUUCACUAUCUAUGAAUUAGUGUCACCUCUGAGCUAUGCUGAUCAUCAAACAGAAACCAAUUAUGAAGUAUGAAGGCUCACCACUAAAACAGUGUUCAUGAGAAGUGAUCCAGUUUCUACUGAACGGUCAAGUUGAAUACAUGCAGCAAAGAUCACAAUGGUAGGGAAAGCAGUACUUAUCUCAAAUUAUGAAAUGCAAUGGUUGAUUAUUGGAAAGUGUGAAUAGAGUAGAAUCCCCUACUUGCAUAUGUUCUGAAAGAAUACAUCUUUUAAGUCAAAGAAUAUUUAUAUAUUCUAAUGAAUAUUCAUGUGAAGACAUGGAUGAAGAAGUGCAGUAGUCAGAAUAUUCCAGAUAGUUUUAACAGAGUAAAAAUAUUAUUAGGAAUAGAUACGCUUGAUGUUUGCAAAGAAUAAUUUAAAGAGUGAUCUGAAAGCACAUAUAAAGAUUAAAAAGUUAAACAGGUAGGGGAGGCAAGAUGAUGAUGGUGGAAAGCUAGACAGAUGAUGUAGAACAUUAAUUUACAGUUGUUGGAGAGAUUUGCUGACAUUUUAAAUUUAACAUGCCUACAACUUACCUUUCCAAUCUUUGUCCCAUUUAAUAGGAGGAACCCUUGCUCAGGUCAAAAACUUGGGAGUCAUUCUUGAAGCUUAUUCCACCUCCAAUCCAAUAAGUAAUUACCCUUAUCCUCUUAAUUAAGCUUCGAAAAUGUGUCUUUACAUGUUUUCCCUUUCCUAAUGCUGAGACUCACAUCUAAGCCAGAAACGUUUCUCAGGUGGCCUCUACAAUAAUCUUCCAAUCAACCUGGAAAACUUGGUCUCUUUUCAAUCCUUUUAUUCUUUCUCUAUACAGAGCAAGUGAAAUCAAAAUUUUAUAUAAAUGUAUAUAAAUAUGUAUAUGUGUAUACAGUUCAACUUUUAACAACAUGGUUUAAACUAAGUGGGUCAACUUAUAUGCCUAUUUUCUUCUCCCUUUGCCAUGCUUGUGACAGCAAGACCAAGACCUCCUCUUCUUCCUCCUCCUCAGCCUAGUCUACUUGAAGAUGAUGAGGAUGAAGACCUUUAUAAUAAC
rnacentral:lncRNA from 10 species